GCGCAACCCUUGUCAUUAGUUGCUACAUUCAGUUGAGCACUCUAAUGAGACUGCCGGUGACAAACCGGAGGAAGGUGGGGAUGACGUCAAGUCCUCAUGGCCCUUAUAGGUGGGGCUACACACGUCAUACAAUGGCUGGUACAGAGGGUUGCCAACCCGCGAGGGGGAGCUAAUCCCAUAAAACCAGUCGUAGUCCGGAUCGCAGUCUGCAACUCGACUGCGUGAAGUCGGAAUCGCUAGUAAUCGCGGAUCAGCAUGCCGCGGUGAAUACGUUCCCGGGUCUUGUACACACCGCCCG
rnacentral:rRNA from 1 species